GCUGGGCACGGUGGCUCAUGCCUGUAAUCCCAGCACUUUGGGAGGCCGAGGUGGGUGGAUCACCUGAGGUCAGGAGUUCAAGACCAGCCUGGCCAACAUGGUGAAACCCCAUCUCUA
rfam:Nomascus leucogenys chromosome 9, whole genome shotgun sequence.